rnacentral:rRNA from 1 species
UGGGGAAUAUUGGGGCAAUGGGCGAAAGCCUGACCCAGCAACGCCGCGUGAAGGAAGAAGGUUUUCGGAUUGUAAACUUCUUUUACCAGGGACGAAGGACGUGACGGUACCUGGAGAAAAAGCAACGGCUAACUACGUGCCAGCAGCCGCGGUAAUACGUAGGUUGCAAGCGUUGUCCGGAUUUACUGGGUGUAAAGGGCGUGUAGGCGGAGGAGCAAGUCAGAUGUGAAAUCCCGGGGCUUAACCCCGGAACUGCAUUUGAAACUGUUUCCCUUGAGUAUCGGAGAGGCAAGCGGAAUUCCUAGUGUAGCGGUGAAAUGCGUAGAUAUUAGGAGGAACACCAGUGGCGAAGGCGGCUUGCUGGACGACAACUGACGCUGAGGCGCGAAAGCGUGGGGAGCAAACAGGAUUAGAUACCCUGGUAGU